UACGAGGGGGGCAAAUGUUGUUCGGAAUCACUGGGCGUAAAGGGCGCGUAGGCGGGUUUUUAAGUCAGGUGUUUAAUCCCGGGGCCCAACCCCGGACAGGCACUUGAAACUGGGAAUCUUGAAUAGUGGAGAGGUCAGUGGAAUUGGGGGUGUAGCGGUGGAAUGCGUAGAGAUCCCCAAGAACACCCGUUGCGAAGGCGGCUGACUGGACACAUAUUGACGCUGAGGCUCGAAAGCAUGGGGAGCAAACAGG
rnacentral:rRNA from 1 species